GCCUUUAUAGCUCAAUUGGUAGAGCAUUAUACUGUUAAUAUUUGUGUUAGGUGUUCAAAUCACCUUAAAGGCG
rnacentral:tRNA from 1 species